UACGGAGGGUGCAAACGUUGCUCGGAAUCACUGGGCGUAAAGGGCGUGUAGGCGGGACAGUAAGUCGGGCGUGAAAUCCCUGGGCUCAACCCAGGAACUGCACUCGAAACUACUAUUCUUGAGUGUCGGAGAGGAAAGCGGAAUUCCUGGUGUAGAGGUGAAAUUCGUAGAUAUCAGGAGGAACACCAGUGGCGAAGGCGGCUUUCUGGACGAUAACUGACGCAUGAGACG
rnacentral:rRNA from 1 species